rnacentral:lncRNA from 1 species
AUUAUCAUAAAUCAGAGUUUAAAUAUGCAUUUGGUCGACUUCAAGCCUGAUUACACUAGAACAGAAUUGAACCUGGUCAAGCACUUGCACCCGAGGGACACAUGACAGCCAUUUGGAGGCAAUGCGCAAUGAAACAUCCAAGGGCUUAGAUUCAUCAAGCCAAGAGGAUCUGCAAUCGGAUCUCCCAGCUUCCUCCACAGCAUCCCCGAUUCCAUCUGCACCUGUGAUCAUUCCCGCUCUUCUCCCACGCCCAUCCCGCUGAUCCCGCCUGCAGCCAUCCAGCAAACCGAGAUCAGCGGCCGCUUCUUCCUCGCCUCCAGCCAUUCAUGAGCAUCUCAGCCCCCAGCAAAGGCAAUCGCAAUUCCCACGCGUUCGCCCGCCUCCUCCACUGAUCCCGUCCUCCACAGCGUUCGCGAAGCAAUUCUUCCGUGAUCAAAGCUCCUUCUUCUUCAAUCGAUUCCAGCUGAUCACCUCCCGGCCGUCCGCCUCCUCCAUCGCGUCCGAUCUCAGCAUCAAAUCCGGCCGUGAUCAGCUUCCGCAGGUCCCGCGUCCACUUUCCUCCUCCGUUCCAACAAUCCCAGCAUCUCUACACCAUCCGUAUCCGUCCGCUCCGUGAACAGAGCUCCUCAGCAGUUCGUGAUUCUUCCAUCUCCACAUGCAUUCAGCCCAGCAUCCAUUCUCAGCGCCCCAGCCGGCCGCAAUCAUCUCCCAGCCCCAUUCCUCCGCCCUAAUCUUCUCACGCGGAAGAUUAUGUCCGCUUGAUAGGUCGGGAAAGCUAUAAAAAGGAGAUGGGGGAUCGGUUCAAGGGAGCUCCGAUUUGGGGAAGAAGAGUGGAGCCGGGUUGCUGCAGUAGGAAAAAAAAAGAAGUAGAAAGAAACAGGGGAUGCCCUGUUUCUGUUAUUAAAAAAAAGAGUGAGAAAGAGAGAGGGAGAUGAUCGGCUAAAGUCCUAGGUGAUGG